GGAUGGUGAUGAAAUUUUAGGAUGUUGUCCUAGAGAUAUAUUGUGGACCUCUGGAAGUUAUGGAUUUAAAAUCUGAGUGGCAGAUCUUCCGGAUCGAUCUACGUAGUGACGUAUUUUAUAUAAGUUAUAUAUUCUAUCGAUAUGAAUUCUGAGGUUGGAUUUGAUUACUGUUCUAGGCGGCAAUCGUCAUGACGCCUUGGCGUAUUGUGCUAGGGAGUUGUAGGACGAACUCCAGGUGAGUGGGCAGUUUUGUUUUCCGUAUAUAUAUAUACUUGACGUUUUCCCAGAAAUUGAAUUAGAAUGAAAUUAUGUUUUAAAUGAAAGGUAUAUAGAAUUAUAUGAAAACGUGAAUUGAAAGGUCAUGCAUAGAAGUAUAUGAAAUAUAUAUGGAAAUGUAAAUUGAAUUGCCAUGCAUGAAAUGAUAUGAAUCAAAUGAUAUGAAUUGUUAUAUGAUGCAUAUGAAUGAAUGGUGCGGCGGACGCACAUGUGAGUAUCAGGUGAGUAUUUAAAUACUGUUAUGAUGAUGUUGAUAUAUAUUGAGCUCAAAUCCUGCACCAUGGUUUAGUGCUUAUAGUAUUCACCGCAUCGCACGCUCGCCUUGGAUCCAAGUAGAUGCUGGUCGCAUAGUCCACGCGGAGUGGGUGCGACGGGCCAGUCGAAGAGUGUUAGUGAGAUUUCGACUGGUGGGUGACCUUAGAUUAUGUGCACAGAUGAUUAAUGAGAAAGCACUAGAGCAUAACUUGUGUGCAGAAGGCCGUACAGGUCACAGAGGUGACUCCGGCAGAGUGAGAGUGAUAGAUUUUGAGCUCUAGGUUCAACCGUUCAGGGCUAUUAGAGGGCCUCCGGUUGAUUACUUCUUGCACCUGAUAUAAUUAUUGUUGAUGCAUUCAUAUUAUACUGUUGAAUUUAGACAUGGCAUGGCAUAAUUGUAAUGAAAAAUGUUGAGAUAGUGAUUUGAAGUUUUGAGAUUAUAUAUGUAUAUUUAUAUUUUACAUUUCUGGGAAAGUAUACAAGUUUUACGGAGAGGGGUUACAACGUUUGCGAAAUGUUUGGAUUUGGAAAAGAAUUGUUUUACUGACCCACUCAAUUUUGGUUUUGCGCCCCUCCAGGUUCAGGAAUCACAAAGGUGUGGUGACUACGAGGAAUUCGACGGUGUUCUGACAGAUUGGACAAAAUUAGGACUCACCUUCGGGUGUAUCAACUUAUAAAUUGUAUCUUAAAGCUUCCGUACUGUGCAAAUGGUUACGUCACUCUCACGUGAUGGCCAGCAUGCCCUCCUUCG
rnacentral:lncRNA from 1 species